AUUUCGGUGGUGCAACGGUUAGUGCGUUCGUGAGGCGUGUGAAAAGAAACUUGUACAGGGAGAGAUCCAGGUUCGACUCCUGGCCGGGAUA